rnacentral:tRNA from 1 species
GGGGCUGGAGCUCAGUGGUAGAGCACUUGCCUCACAUGCAUGAGUGCCUGGGUUUGAUCCUCAGCACCA